GGGCCUGUAGCUCAUCUGGUAGAGCGCUACGUUCGCAAUGUAGAGGCGAGGGGUUCGAGUCCCCUCAGGUCCA
rnacentral:tRNA from 1 species